AUAAAUAAAAUCUAAAGUCCACAAAUAAAACCCCAAGACCCAAAGUCAACAAAUAAAACCAAAAAAUGCAAAGUUCACAAAUAAAACCCAAAACCUAAAGUCCACAAAUGAAACCUACGACCGCAAAGUCGUUAAACUAAACAACCAAAUCCAAACGACUGUAAAGUCGUUAAACUAAAUAAUCAAAUCAAACGACUGCAAAGUCGCUAAACUAAACAACCAAACCCAAACGACCAUCAAGUCGUUAAACUGAAUAUCUGACCAUCAAGUCGUUAAACUGAAUUCAAAUUCAAAUGACCAUCAAGUCGUUAAACUGAAUUCAAAUUCAAAUGACUAUCAAGUUGUUAAACUGAACAUAUGACCAUCAAGUCAUUAAACUGAAUUCAAAUUCAAAUGACCAUUAAGUUGUUAAAUUGAACAUAUGACCAUCAAGUCGUCAAACUAAAUUCAAAUUCAAAUAACCAUCAAAUCGUUAAACUGAAUUCAAAUUCAAUGACCAUCAAGUCAUUAAACUGAAUUCAAAUUCAAUGACCAUCAAGUCGUUAAACUGACUAUAUGACCAUCAAGUCAUUAAACUAAAUUCAAAUUCAAAUGACCAUCAAGUUUUUAAACUGAAUAUAUGACCAUCAAGUCGUCAAACUGAAUUCAAAUUCAAAUGACCAUUAAGUCGUUAAACUGAAUUCAAAUUCAAAUGACCAUCAAGUCGUUAAAAUGAACAUAUAACCAUCAAGUCGUUAAACCAAAUUCAAAUUCAAAUGACCAUCAAGUCGUUAAACUGAAUAUAUGACCAUCAAGUUGUUAAACUAAAUUCAAAUUCAUAUGACCACGAAGUUGUUAAACUGAAUUCAAAUUCGAAUGACCAUCAAGUCGUUAAACUGAAUAAUUGACCGCCAAAUUGUUAAACUGAGCAAGCCAACAUCAAGUUCUACUUCAUCCGACCGCCAAGUCGUUAAGCAAGCCAACAUCAAGUUCUACUUCAUCCGACCGCCAAGUCGUUAAACUGAGAAACUUAACUCAAAUCAACUGCCAUAUCCUUAAACCGAGCACCUGAAAACCUCAACUUCAAACUGAUCGCCUUGUCGUUAAACUGAGCAACUCAACUUCAAGCCGGCCACCAUGUCGCUAAACUGAGCAUCUCAACUUCAAUAGACUGCCAAGUUGCUAAACUGAGCAAAUCAAGUUCAGAUAUGAUCGUCAAGUUGUUAAACUGAACAUUUUACUAUCAAGUCGUUAAACUGAACAACGACCAUCAAGUCGUUAAACUAAACAAUGACCAUCAAGUCGUUAAACUGAGCUGUUAGCCGCCAAAUCAUUAAACUGAGUCGAGCAAACCAAAUUCAAAUUCAAAUUGACCAUCAAGUCGUUAAACUGAGCAAAUUAAAUUUAAAUUCAAAUUGACCGCCAAGUCGUUAAACUGAGCAAAUCAAAUUUAAAUUCAAAUUGACCGCCAAAUCGUUAGACUAGACAAACCAAAUUCAAAUUCAAUUGACCGCCAAAUCGCUAAAUUGGGCAAACCAAAUUUAAAUUCAAAUUGACCGCCAAGUCGUUAAACUAGACAAACCAAAUUCAAAUUCAAAUUGACCGCCAAAUCGUUAAACUGAGCAAACCAAAUUUAAAUUCAAAUUGACUGCAUGCCAAGUCGUUAAACUGAGCAAACCAAUUGCAAACUCUUCUCAACUGCCAGGUCAUCAAAUUGAGCAAAUUAUUUCAAA
rnacentral:lncRNA from 1 species